rnacentral:rRNA from 1 species
AAAGAGCUCGUAGGCGGUUUGUCGCGUCUGCCGUGAAAGUCCGGGGCUUAACUCCGGAUCUGCGGUGGGUACGGGCAGACUAGAGUGCAGUAGGGGAGACUGGAAUUCCUGGUGUAGCGGUGAAAUGCGCAGAUAUCAGGAGGAACACCGAUGGCGAAGGCAGGUCUCUGGGCUGUAACUGACGCUGAGGAGCGAAAGCAUGGGGAGCGAACAGGAUUAGAUACCCUGGUAGUCCAUGCCGUAAACGUUGGGCACUAGGUGUGGGGGACAUUCCACGUUUUCCGCGCCGUAGCUAACGCAUUAAGUGCCCCGCCUGGGGAGUACGGCCGCAAGGCUAAAACUCAAAGGAAUUGACGGGGGCCCGCACAAGCGGCGGAGCAUGCGGAUUAAUUCGAUGCAACGCGAAGAACCUUACCAAGGCUUGACAUGAACCGGAAUGGUGCAGAGAUGUAUCAGCCACUUGUGGCCGGUUUACAGGUGGUGCAUGGUUGUCGUCAGCUCGUGUCGUGAGAUGUUGGGUUAAGUCCCGCAACGAGCGCAACCCUCGUUCCAUGUUGCCAGCGGGUUAUGCCGGGGACUCAUGGGAGACUGCCGGGGUCAACUCGGAGGAAGGUGGGGACGACGUCAAAUCAUCAUGCCCCUUAUGUCUUGGGCUUCACGCAUGCUACAAUGGCCGGUACAAAGGGUUGCGAUACUGUGAGGUGGAGCUAAUCCCAAAAAGCCGGUCUCAGUUCGGAUUGAGGUCUGCAACUCGACCUCAUGAAGUUGGAGUCGCUAGUAAUCGCAGAUCAGCAACGCUGCGGUGAAUACGUUCCCGGGCCUUGUACACACCGCCCGUCAAGUCACGAAAGUUGGUAACACCCGAAGCCGGUGGCCUAACCCCUUGUGGGAGGGAGCUGUCGAAGGUGGGACUGGCGAUUGGGACUAA